rnacentral:rRNA from 1 species
CGAACAAGUUCUCGUUGAUGAUCGGUGCUUGCACCGAGAUUCAACAUGGAACGAGUGGCGGACGGGUGAGUAACACGUGGGUAACCUGCCCUUAAGUGGGGGAUAACAUUUGGAAACAGAUGCUAAUACCGCAUAGAUCCAAGAACCGCAUGGUUCUUGGCUGAAAGAUGGCGUAAGCUAUCGCUUUUGGAUGGACCCGCGGCGUAUUAGCUAGUUGGUGAGGUAAUGGCUCACCAAGGCGAUGAUACGUAGCCGAACUGAGAGGUUGAUCGGCCACAUUGGGACUGAGACACGGCCCAAACUCCUACGGGAGGCAGCAGUAGGGAAUCUUCCACAAUGGACGCAAGUCUGAUGGAGCAACGCCGCGUGAGUGAAGAAGGCUUUCGGGUCGUAAAACUCUGUUGUUGGAGAAGAAUGGUCGGCAGAGUAACUGUUGUCGGCGUGACGGUAUCCAACCAGAAAGCCACGGCUAACUACGUGCCAGCAGCCGCGGUAAUACGUAGGUGGCAAGCGUUAUCCGGAUUUAUUGGGCGUAAAGCGAGCGCAGGCGGUUUUUUAAGUCUGAUGUGAAAGCCCUCGGCUUAACCGAGGAAGCGCAUCGGAAACUGGGAAACUUGAGUGCAGAAGAGGACAGUGGAACUCCAUGUGUAGCGGUGAAAUGCGUAGAUAUAUGGAAGAACACCAGUGGCGAAUGCGGCUGUCUGGUCUGUAACUGA